GAACUGAAGAGUUUGAUCAUGGCUCAGAUUGAACGCUGGCGGCAGGCCUAACACAUGCAAGUCGAGCGGUAGAGAGAAGCUUGCUUCUCUUGAGAGCGGCGGACGGGUGAGUAAUGCCUAGGAAUCUGCCUGGUAGUGGGGGAUAACGUUCGGAAACGGACGCUAAUACCGCAUACGUCCUACGGGAGAAAGCAGGGGACCUUCGGGCCUUGCGCUAUCAGAUGAGCCUAGGUCGGAUUAGCUAGUUGGUGAGGUAAUGGCUCACCAAGGCGACGAUCCGUAACUGGUCUGAGAGGAUGAUCAGUCACACUGGAACUGAGACACGGUCCAGACUCCUACGGGAGGCAGCAGUGGGGAAUAUUGGACAAUGGGCGAAAGCCUGAUCCAGCCAUGCCGCGUGUGUGAAGAAGGUCUUCGGAUUGUAAAGCACUUUAAGUUGGGAGGAAGGGCAGUUACCUAAUACGUGAUUGUUUUGACGUUACCGACAGAAUAAGCACCGGCUAACUCUGUGCCAGCAGCCGCGGUAAUACAGAGGGUGCAAGCGUUAAUCGGAAUUACUGGGCGUAAAGCGCGCGUAGGUGGUUAGUUAAGUUGGAUGUGAAAUCCCCGGGCUCAACCUGGGAACUGCAUUCAAAACUGACUGACUAGAGUAUGGUAGAGGGUGGUGGAAUUUCCUGUGUAGCGGUGAAAUGCGUAGAUAUAGGAAGGAACACCAGUGGCGAAGGCGACCACCUGGACUGAUACUGACACUGAGGUGCGAAAGCGUGGGGAGCAAACAGGAUUAGAUACCCUGGUAGUCCACGCCGUAAACGAUGUCAACUAGCCGUUGGGAGCCUUGAGCUCUUAGUGGCGCAG
rnacentral:rRNA from 1 species